rnacentral:rRNA from 1 species
UACAGAGGUCUCAAGCGUUGUUCGGAUUCAUUGGGCGUAAAGGGUGUGUAGGUGGCGCCGUAAGUCGGGUGUGAAAUUUCGGAGCUUAACUCCGAAACUGCAUUCGAUACUGCGGUGCUUGAGGACUGGAGAGGAGACUGGAAUUCAUGGUGUAGCAGUGAAAUGCGUAGAGAUCAUGAGGAAGACCAGUGGCGAAGGCGGGUCUCUGGACAAUUGCUGACGCUCAGGCACGAAAGCGUGGGGAGCAAAAGGG